rnacentral:rRNA from 1 species
GACGAACGCUGGCGGCGUGCUUAACACAUGCAAGUCGAACGGUGAAGCGCCGUCCUUUUUGGUGGGUGUGGAUGAGUGGCGAACGGGUGAGUAACACGUGAGUAACCUGCCCCCUUCUUCUGGAUAACCGCAUGAAAGUGUGGCUAAUACGGGAUAUUCUGGGUCUGUCGCAUGAUGGGUCUGGGACAGAUAUUGUUUCGGUGGGGGAUGGGCUCGCGCCCUAUCAGCUUGUUGGUGGGUUGAUGGCCUACCAAGGCGGUGACGGGUAGCCGGCCUGGGGGGGUGGCAGGUCAAGCGGGGACUGAGACACGGCCCAGAUGCGAAAGGGAGGAGGCAGUGAGGAAUAGCACAGGAUGGGAGCAUGCCUGAUGCAGCGACGGCGCGUGAGGGAGGCGGGCCGUGGGGUUGUAAGCCUCUUUCGCGAGUAAAGCAUGUCUGCCUCGUUUGGGGGUGGGUGGAGGGAAGCGGGAAAAGAGGCGCGGGCUAACUACGU